ACCUGGGGUAGCUCAGUUGGUAGUGCAGGAGAUGCUUAAUCUCAGGGUCGUGGGUUUAGUCCCACGCUGGGCA